AUCGCUUCUCGGCCUUUUGGCUAAGAUCAAGUGUAGUAUCUGUUCUUAUCAGUUUAAUAUAUGUCUUUCCCAGCUCCUCCCUUAAGAGAGUCAGCAGUCAGUAGGGACUAUGGAAUGUAAAAUGAUAGGAUUACCUGAGGUAAUUUUUACCGCCA
rnacentral:snRNA from 1 species